GAUGAAGAACGCAGCGAAAUGCGAUAAGUAAUGUGAAUUGCAGAAUUCAGUGAAUCAUCGAAUCUUUGAACGCACAUUGCGCCCCCUGGUAUUCCGGGGGGCAUGCCUGUUCGAGCGUCAUUUCACCACUCAAGCCUCGCUUGGUAUUGGGCAACGCGGUCCGCCGCGUGCCUCAAAUCGACCGGCUGGGUCUUCUGUCCCCUAAGCGUUGUGGAAACUAUUCGCUAAAGGGUGUUCGGGAGGCUACGCCGUAAAACAACCCCAUUUCUAAGGUUGACCUCGGAUCAGGUAGGGAUACCCGCUGAACUUAAGCAUAUCAAUAAACGGAGGA
rnacentral:misc_RNA from 1 species